ensembl:lncRNA
UUCCAGGGUAAAAUAUUCCAGGAUGGGACCAUCCCCCACCCUCACUGCCCCAAUCCCUGCCGAUUUUUUGGGGAUUUGCUCCCCUCGGGAAUUCCCGUUCCCAAGUUUGGGCUGGGAUUUGGGGCUGAUCCCGGGGAUUUUUCCCAGGAAAUUGGUGGUGACGAAGGAGAAGGAGAAGAAGGUUGGGCUCUACACCAUCUUCGUCAACCCCGCCAACACCUCCCAGUUCGCCGUGGGCGGCCGCGACCAGUUCGUGAGGUGGGGCCAAACUGGGAGCACUGGGAGAGCCCAGAGCCUGGGAUUCCUCAUCCUAAAUCCAGGGAUUUCCCAUCCCAAAUCCAGGGAUUCCCCAUCCCAGAGCCUGGGAUUUCCCUUCCCAAAUCCUGGGAUUCCCCAUCCCAGAGCCAGGGAUUCCCCAUCCUAAAUCCAUCCCAAUUCCAGGGAUUCCCCAUCCCAAAUCCAGAGAUUCCCCAUCCCAGAGCCAGGGAUUCCCCAUCCCAGAGCCAGGGAUUCCCCAUUCCAGAGCCUGGGAUUCCCCAUCCCAAAUCCAGGGAUUCCCCAUCCCAGAGCCAGGGAUUCCCCAUUCCAGAGCCUGGGAUUCCCCAUCCUAAAUCCAGGGAUUCCCCAUCCCAAAUCCAGGGAUUCCCCAUCCCAGAGCCUGGGAUUUCCCAGCCCAGAGCCUGGGAUUCCCCAUCCAUCCCAAAUCCAGGGAUUCCCCAUCCCAAAUCCAGGGAUUCCCCAUCCCAGAUCCAGGGAUUUCCCUUCCCAGAUCCAGGGAGUCCCCAUCCUAAAUCCAUCCCAGAUCCAGGGAUUUCCCAUCUAUCCCAAAUCCAGGGAUUCCCCAUCCCAAAUCCAGAGAUUCCCCAUCCAUCCCAAAUCCAGGCAUUCCCCAUCCAUCCCAAAUCCUGGGAUUUCCCAUCCCAGAUCCAGGGAUUCCCCAUUCCAGAGCCUGGGAUUCCCCAUCCCAAAUCCAGGGAUUCCCCAUCCCAAAUCCAGGCAUUCCCCAUCCCAAAUCCAGGGAUUCCCCAUCCCAAAUCCAGGGAUUCCCCAUCCCAAAUCCAGGGAUUUCCCUUCCCAAUUCCAGGGAUUUCCCAUCCCAGAUCCAGGGAUUUCCCAUCCCAAAUCCUGGGAUUUCCCAUCCCAGAGCCUGGGAUUCCCCAUCCCAAAUCCAUCCAAAAUCCAGGGAUUCCCCAUCCAUUCCCAAUUCCAGGGAUUCCCCAUCCCAAUUCCAGGGAUUCCCCAUCCCAAAUCCAGAGAUUCCCCAUCCCAAAUCCAUCCCAAAUCCAGGGAUUCCCCAUCCAUUCCCAAAUCCAGGGAUUCCCCAUCCCAAAUCCAGGGAUUUCCCUUCCCAAAUCCAGGGAUUCCCCAUCCCAAAUCCAGGGAUUUCCCAUCCCAAAUCCUGGGAUUCCCCAUCCCAAAUCCUGGGAUUCCCCAUCCCCAAUCCUGGGAUUUCCCUUCCCAAAUCCAGGGAUUCCCAAAUCCAUCUUUCCCUUUCCAAAUCCCCAAUUUUGCCUUCCCUCUUUCCCUUUCCAAAUCCCCAAUUUUGCCUUCCCAAAUCCAGGGAUUGGGACCAGUUCAUCCAGUGAGGCCCAACUGGGAGCACUGGGAGCCCCCAGAUCCAGGUGUAUCCCAGCACUGAAUCCCAGGAAAUUUUGGACAUGGAAUUUCAGCCAUGGGAAUGUCAUUCCCUGCCCCAAAUCUGGGAAUAUCCCAAAAUAG